rnacentral:lncRNA from 1 species
AAAAAAUUGUAAAACCAUUCAGUUGAACAGAUGUGCUUUAGUACUGAUGAUGUAGAGAUGCAAAGGUGAGAGCAACAUCAUCUUUGCCAUCGGGAAGCAUCCACUCUAAAUGUUUUAGUCACAGGGCUGUGUGUUCACACCAUGAAUUGUGAGAUCCCCAUGUUUACAAAGGAAAAUUCUUCCUAUGAGUCUCCCUGUUGCUAGGUAUCUUACUUUCUUGUCUCUGGGACAAUAUACCUGACAUCCACAACUUAAAAGAGGAAAGGCUUGUUUUGGCUCACAGUUCUUUCAUAGAGGUUUCAGUCCAUGGUUGGCUGCCUCCGAGGCAGAAGAGCAUGGCAGAGGAGAACAGCACAUGACAUGGAAGAAGGAAGCAAAGCGAUCAGGGGAGGAGGGAGGGAGACAGACUUGCCAGGCAGUGCCUCCAGUGACCCACCUCUUCCAACCAGGCUUCACAUCCCAAGUCAUCAGAGGAGCAACCCACCAAUAAGUAUCAUGCCCCUAGGGUCCAUUCACAUCCCCAAAGCCCCACAUAUGAGCACAUGAGGCUUUGAGAGUAUAAACCAUAGCACUAGGUUUUUUUUUUUUUUUUUAAAUAAAUCCUCCCAUUAUCAUGACUUCAUUUGGUUUAUUGUGGUGUUUUAUCUUUUUUCUUUUCCUUCUUCCCAGUGUUGAAAAAGAAGAGUUCUAUUAAUGCCCAGCAUUUAUCCAGUGGCAGUGUAUGUACAAUACCCUAAUCAGGAACCCAGAGCCUUAAGAAAAUUUCAUUUCUAGAGCAACAAGAUUGGAGUUCAUUACGUCCAGACUUGAUCUCUGUCCCUUUUAUGGACCCAAAACCGAUGAAGCUGAAACAUCCCAGGACACCACAGCAAUCACACGGGAUGGCCAGGAUGUCUUCAGUUACCCAGAGAAACAUCUGUCAGACACCGCGUGACCUUCUAGCUGGAGAAACUGUAAAGUUUUAACAUGAGAAUGGUAUCUCCCUUCUAAUGAUAGCAUAGGUUUCCUAAUUGGGUUGUACCCAAAAGUAGGGCCUCAACCUGAUUUAGUGAGGUGAGCUAGUUAACAUUCUAAGUUAACGGGAAGCCUCAUAACUUCUUAAACAAUAAAGUCACCCUGGAAUGAUAUUUUAGACAUCAUCAUCUUAAGGGAAUUUCUCCAAAAAUAUGAAUUCUUGUGUGUUUAAAAAGAAAUAUAUAAAAGAUUCCAUCUCUUGAUUUUCAGAUAACACUACUACAAUCAAUCCUUAAAUUGUCCGCACUGCAUUUAGAAGUUCUGGAAAAUACUAGAUUUUAAACUUGUGAACUAAGAUCAUUCAAUGUAAGGUUUGAUUUAAAUGUGAUAUAAACUAUAAUUAUUUGGAUUAUGUGUACGUCAUUUAUGACUAAUUUUAAUAUAGCACAAUCUAUUUUAUAUAUGUCAUCUAAAAUCUAUGAUCAACUUUUCACAUAUUUCAAAAUGCAUAGCAAAAUGAUUAAAAGCAAAUUCACUAGUAAUACCUUUAUAUGUUAGAAUACUGAAAAACUUUAAUUGUACGUUUG